rnacentral:rRNA from 1 species
GAUGAACGCUGGCGGCGUGCUUAACACAUGCGAGUCGAGCGAUGAAGUUUCCUUCGGGAAACGGAUUAGCGGCGGACGGGUGAGUAACACGUGGGUAACCUGCCUCAUAGAGUGGAAUAGCCUUCCGAAAGGAAGAUUAAUACCGCAUAACGUUGAAAGAUGGCAUCAUCAUUCAACCAAAGGAGCAAUCCGCUAUGAGAGGGACCCGCGGCGCAUUAGCUAAUCGGUGGGGUAACGGCCUACCAAGGCGACGAUGCGUAGCCGACCGGAGAGGGUGAUCGGCCACAUUGGGACUGAGACACGGCCCAGAAUCCUACGGGAGGCAGCAGUGGGUAAUAUUGCAAAAUGGGGGAAACCCUGAUGCAGCAACGCCGCGUGAGUGAUGAAGGUUUUCGGAUCGUAAAGCUCUGUCUUUGGGGAAGAUAAUGACGGUACCCAAGGAGGAAGCCACGGCUAACUACGUGCCAGCAGCCGCGGUAAUAC